rnacentral:misc_RNA from 1 species
AGCAGCCGCGGUAAUUCCAGCUCCAAUAGCGUAUAUUAAAGUUGUUGCAGUUAAAAAGCUCGUAGUUGAAUUUCGGGAUUAACGUAAUGGUCGUGCCUUAAGGGGUAUGAACUGUUACUGUUGAUUUCUCACCUUCUGGAGAAUCUUGAUGUCCUUAAUUGGGUGUCUUGUGGAUCCAGGACCUUUACCUUGAAAAAUUGAGUGUUUAAAGCAGGCAUUUUGCUCGAAUACAUUAGCAUGGAAUAAUAGAAUAGGACGGUCAUGGUUCUAUUUUGUUGGUUUCUAGGAUAACCGUAAUGAUUAAUAGGGAUAGUUGGGGGCAUUAGUAUUCAAUUGUCAGAGGUGAAAUUCUUGGAUUUAUUGAAGACUAACUACUGCGAAAGCAUUUGCCAAGGAUGUC